AUAGCACAAAAGUGUCUAUGUAAGAGGUCAGCACUGUAUAAAAGUUGUUAGUAAUAAACUAGACACAACGUUUGAGUUUAAUUUCAAUUUGUUUUCUCCCAUGUAGCUGCAUGUUGGUGACAGAUUGAGAGAGAAGGAAUAAAUCACAGCGUUGCGACUUAAAGCAGCCCAGUCAAAUAAAGGGAUCUACCAACACCGGUGAAGUCCCUUCUGUGAACCACACAGCAGAAACUGAGUUGCUCCUUCCCACUGGCAAACAGCCUAAGGAGGAGCUGUUUAUAGGUUGUGCCUGGUGAGUGUUGGAGGUGAUGAAGUGCACACACUGUUUGCCUUUCCUGCCAAGGAUAGGUACAACGUGGUCAUUCAGGACUGAGCAUAUUGCCAGUACACCUUCCUCCCCAGGUGGCGAAGCGAGCAGUCGAGCACCGUUCUAGUCAUAGCAGCACAAGUUAUUACACACCAGCUCUGCCUUUCUUUUGGAUAUUCCCUAUAUGUUCAUGGUAAGAAUUGAAUUAUUUUUCCAUCUCCAGCAAAUCUAAUAGGCCCAGAGAAAUGUUUUCGUGUAGGCACUAAGAGUAAGGAGAAAACAGGUAAGAUCCCAGGCCAUCAGGGACUGAAUCUUUUCCAUUGUGGGUUGCUUCUUGAGUUCGUCUGAAAGAGCUUUCAUUUGAUUUAAAAAGCUUUUAUUGAUUAAAAAAGGCUUUGUUCAUAGGCUCUAUUUUCUUGAGUGGCUGAAGCAGGCUUAACUCAUGACAGGAGCCCUUAUUUGAGUUUAUUUUCAUCAUCUUGGUUGGUGCUAAAUUUCAUGCUUUUCUUCUCCAUAAAGGUAACUGGAAAAGAAGCACACGGUUUAGAGAUAGAAAAGAAGUGUAGGUUUCCUUCCAGUCCAUUAAUUUUCUUUCAUGGAGCCCUGUACCACUUUGAGUGCACAAUUGGGAAGAAUCAAAACACAGACAU